UCGGGAAUUUUGGGCAAUGGGCGAAAGCCUGACCCAGCAACGCCGCGUGAGGGAUGAAGUAUUUCGGUACGUAACCUCGAAAGAAUGGGAAGAAUAAAUGACGGUACCAUUUAUAAGCUCCGGCUAACUACGUGCCAGCAGCCGCGGUAAUACGUAGGGAGCAAGCGUUGUUCGGAUUUACUGGGCGUAAAGGGCGCGUAGGCGGCGCGGUAAGUCACUUGUGAAAUCUCUGAGCUUAACUCAGAACGGCCAAGUGAUACUGCUGUGCUAGAGUGCGGAAGAGGCAAACGGAAUUCUUGGUGUAGCGGUGAAAUGCGUAGAUAUCAAGAGGAACACCUGAGGCGAAGGCGGGUUGCUGGGCCGACACUGACGCUGAUGCGCGAAAGCCAGGGGAGCAAACG
rnacentral:rRNA from 1 species